AGUCCGACAGCAGUUUCAGUGGACAGAAAGCAGGUGCAGGCAGGGCUCUAUGCCUUCCAGAGGCUCUGGGGGAAAAUUUGCUCCCUCCGUCUCCCAGCUCCUGGAUCUCCGUUCUUUGGCUCACGGCCCCUCCCUUCAUGUUCAAAGCCCGCGGGAGGGUGGAUUCAGAUCCCACUGCUUCCACCAUCACUUCACCAGCUGCCUCCUGUGUGUGGGCAUCAGCUCCUGCCUCUCUCUAGUCCGGAGGCUUGUGACGGCAUUCAAGGCCCACCCAGCUAAUCCAGGAUAAUCUUCUCAUGACAAAAUUCUUCAUUCAGACAAACCUGCAAAACUUUUCCCACAUAAGACUUCAGCUGAGUAACACUGUCCCUUAGCAACUCUGACCGGUUUUCAAGAAAGAAGUGUCUCAUCUUACCCCAUUGCUGUGGAUGCACAUGGAGACAGUUUCCCGGGUUUCAGCAUGAUCAGAUGUCCAUGCCACAAGAGCUGGGGCUCGUUCACUCCCCCACCCAGGGCCCGGAAAGCAGACCUUGACAACCACACUGCAAACCUGUGCAUUGAGACAUUCCAGAAACUAGGUGUUAUAAAACUGCUGUGUGCCUAGCCCUGUGCUAUCAGGGAGGCAGAGGGCAUACGAGGCAUUGCCCCAAACUCCGGGAGCUUCCAGCACAAAGACGAUGUCUUCCUUCUGAUUGCAAGAUGUUGCUGUAGUUCCUGGCACCAGCAGAUGCAAUCCUCCAGAGUUGGAAAGAGCCAUUUCCUCCAGGGCGGCUCCUUUUUUUAGGAGAGAAACUCUUUUGCAGUAAUCCCGCACCCUAUCCCCCAAACUCUCCUUUAGGUCCACAUGACGAGAUGGGGUUUGCCGGUCUGGGCCCUGAAUGAGAAGCUGAGGAGGGGAGUAUUGGCAUUUUAAGUCUUCAGAGUGGGAGGUGGGUCCUACCAGCAAGGGGAGUGGGAUAUCUCAGCCAAGAAUGUCUAUUAUGUAA